AAUCUGGCCAGCACAAAGUGUCUUCACAGCGAUUGUGAAAGUUGCAAGAGUGUCUCCACCCAUCACUUCAUUAGAGGCUAAUCCUUACACUGGGCAGGACAGAAGAACCUGGGAACUGCGUACAUAAGCCACCUGAGAUACUCAGAAGACUGAGACAUCACCAAGAGAAGAUACCCAGCAAAAACAUCACUGCCUUGUAAAGGUGAACCCAGCAAGCUCCCAAGAUGUGUAACUUGGAUUGUGUUGCAAAUGCAUUCAGGGCAGUUUUUCGGUUGUUGAAGGGCAUAUUUGACAAGGCGAAAGAAGUUGCAGAACAUCCCUUUGAGGCACCCCCUAAGCCGGCGAUUGAAAAGGGGGACUGAGGUUGAAGACAGCAGCUGCUUAUUUUCUUUGGGAAUAAACCCUGCUGUUGUCUUCUUUUCUUCCAACCCUGUUGAUGGCAGGAAUAUCCCCUUUAUUGUCAAGGGGCUCUGUGUUACAUUGACACAA